rnacentral:rRNA from 1 species
GACGAACGCUGGCGGCGUGCCUAAUACAUGCAAGUCGAACGCUUCUUUCCUCCCGAGUGCUUGCACUCAAUUGGAAAGAGGAGUGGCGGACGGGUGAGUAACACGUGGGUAACCUACCCAUCAGAGGGGGAUAACACUUGGAAACAGGUGCUAAUACCGCAUAACAGUUUAUGCCGCAUGGCAUAAGAGUGAAAGGCGCUUUCGGGUGUCGCUGAUGGAUGGACCCGCGGUGCAUUAGCUAGUUGGUGAGGUAACGGCUCACCAAGGCCACGAUGCAUAGCCGACCUGAGAGGGUGAUCGGCCACACUGGGACUGAGACACGGCCCAGACUCCUACGGGAGGCAGCAGUAGGGAAUCUUCGGCAAUGGACGAAAGUCUGACCGAGCAACGCCGCGUGAGUGAAGAAGGUUUCCGGAUCGUAAAACUCUGUUGUUAGAGAAGAACAAGGACGUUAGUAACUGAACGUCCCCUGACGGUAUCUAACCAGAAAGCCACGGCUAACUACGUG